CAGCCGCCGCGGGAAUACGUAGGGUGCAAGCGUUAAUCGGAAUUACUGGGCGUAAAGCGUGCGCAGGCGGUUAUAUAAGUCAGAUGUGAAAUCCCCGGGCUCAACCUGGGAACUGCAUUUGAGACUGUAUGGCUAGAGUGUGUCAGAGGGGGGUGGAAUUCCACGUGUAGCAGUGAAAUGCGUAGAUAUGUGGAGGAAUACCGAUGGCGAAGGCAGCCCCCUGGGAUAACACUGACGCUCAUGCACGAAAGCGUGGGGAGCAAACAGGAUUAGAUACCCCCGUAGUCCCUGUCUCUUAUAA
rnacentral:rRNA from 1 species